rnacentral:rRNA from 1 species
UGAGCAAUCUGCCCCUGACUCUGGGAUAAGCGCUGGAGACGGCGUCUAAUACCGGAUACGAGCUGCGAAGGCAUCUUCAGCAGUUGGAAAGAAUUUCGGUCAGGGAUGAGCUCGCGGCCUAUCAGCUUGUUGGUGAGGUAAUGGCUCACCAAGGCGUCGACGGGUAGCCGGCCUGAGAGGGUGACCGGCCACACUGGGACUGAGACACGGCCCAGACUCCUACGGGAGGCAGCAGUGGGGAAUAUUGCACAAUGGGCGGAAGCCUGAUGCACAACGCCGCGUGAGGGAUGACGGCCUUCGGGUUGUAAACCUCUUUUAGCAGGGAAGAAGCGAAAGUGACGGUACCUGCAGAAGAAGCACCGGCCAACUACGUGCCAGCAG